AUAAAUUUAAGUUAUAUUAGACUAAGUGUUUUCAAAACACUAAGGGGCCGUAGGGCCAGUUUAUG
rnacentral:tRNA from 1 species